UCUAUAUGAAAGAGUCCAUACCUAUAACUAAAUGUAUUUUUGUUUGUUUUGUAUUCUUGAAAAUUGAUGGUUUUAGCAAUCCCCUCCUGAAAUGAAGAGUUACAUACUGGGGUCUCUGGAAAACUAAACCAUGGAAAUUAAACUAGGAGACAGCCAGGAUCAUUUUUAGUAAAACAGUGUUCACAUCCCAAACCCCAGACUUUGAUUAGGUAUUAUGAAAGAAGCAAAUUAAGGUGAAGAUGGAACCAAAGUUAAUAGUCAGCUGAUGUUAUAAGGAGAUUAUCCUGUAUUAUCAGGACGGGCCCCAAGUAAUCACGAGAGUACUUAAAUGUGGAGGAUUGAUAAAAAAGAGUCAAAGAGAUGUGGUGUGGGAUAGAUACAACAGAACAUUAACUUUUCUCAAAAUCUCUGUGUUGAUUCUUUUUCCAUUAGCAUAAAAUGUACUUAAUGUAGGAAUACCCAUCGUUUAUUUUUAUAUGCACAACACCAUAUUGGUUUGUGAAUAUGAAAUGAAAGAAUACCGAAAGUAAAGAAAUGCUUCCUAAAGGAUGAGACCCAGGUACUACAGGAGUAUAGAUAAUGUGCUCCCUGUAUGGGUAGGAUUGUGGAUUCUUGGUGUUCAAUAAGUAUGGAUAAUUUGGUGUCUAAACUUGUGCCAAGUCUAUAUUAUUUUAAAUUGAUAUGAGAUAGUCAAGCCACAGAACUGACCGCCUGUUAUUUGGCCCUUGUCCACAGAGUGAUGCUCCUCACUGUACUGUUCUUGUUGUUUCCAGAACUCUUUGGGUUCCUGAAUUCUCAGAAUGACUUCAAAGGUAAGGUGUCCUUUUACAUGAGCAAGGUGAUAAGGGGCCUCUCUGCACACCUGCCUUCCGAUCAUACUCCAGGCCAGGAGCAUCCCCAGAACUUCUUGGUGGGCCAGCUUUGAACGGAAAUCCACCAGUUACGUCUUCCAUCCCCUCUUCUUCUUACAGUUCUGUUUUCUCAGUACUAAUCUCCUCUUCUAUGCUGUGGCUUCUAAUGUGACCAAGACCAAUCUACUAAGCAGCACUAACUACUUCUCAUGUUCCUCCAUAAACUGCAAUGUCUGGAGCCUGUUUUUCAUACUGUCACUAUUUAGAGAUGCUUCAUUUGUAGAAAUCAUGCUGCUCUCAAGUGCAUACAUGGUGAUCCUCUGGUCCAGGCAUCAGGGUCAGUCCCAUCAGCCUCUCCCCCAAAAACUUCCCCACAGAAGAGGGUCGCACAGACCAUCCUGCUGCAGGCUUGCUAUUACAAUGAAGAAGAGGCUGGAGUACCUCAUUUUGCUGCAUUCUUUGAAGACCAAGCUGAGGUGAAGAGGGAAUAUGCAAAGCAGUUCCUAAGAUAUCUAAGAAGACAUCAGGGUAAAAUCUGCCUUCCAGUGAUUAAGAGGCCUGACAUAGAUAACUGGGGAACAGGUAUACAAGCUAUAGAGUCUGCUCUGCAGUUGGAAAACACAUUAAACAAGCUCUUGCAAGACCUGAAGGCCUUGGCUUCUGAGAAGAGUGAAACUGAUCUUAUUCACUUCAUAGGAAAGUUUCUGGAUAAACAGAAGAGGAACAUAGGCUAUCUGGAAUACCAGCUUAAUUAUCAGAAGGAAUUGGAAAAGCAGGACCAGCAGGAAGGCCAGUUGCAAGAGCCUGCUGAAGCUUCAGGUAAAGAGGCCUAACAUCCAUCGGAGAGUAACACAGCAAAUCUUCCUAUUGUAGCAGGUCCCAACUCAGCUACUUCACAAUUUUGGUCUCGGUUUGACGGAAGACUGCUUUCCUUUUUAUCUAGUAUCCUAAUCUUCAUUGUUGUGCAUAUAAAUAAAUCUGCAUGGCAUUAUGGUUAUGUGUAAAGAGACUGCUAUUGGAGCACAAGAAGGGUUAGUUCCAUCAAUAUGAGUUUGCUAAAAGCUCCAGAGGAACAGUGGGUGCAUUAGACUAAAAAAAAAAAAAAAAAAAAAGCCUUCCUCCAUGGUCCCAGCAACACCCAGAUACAGAGUCAGGAUUUGGUAAAUUCAGUAGUCCAAGUGGAUAUAGUGGAAAUGAAGUAGUAAAACCUUAGGUCUAUCUAGUGUUCCCCCACCCAAAGUUGUAUACAUAAUUUAAGUUUACAAAAUAGUAAACUUCUAAUUAAAUGCAAAGCUAAACUUGAAGAUGAGCUCUUGGUCUAUAAAGGCCAAUUCCCAUCUGAAAGAUGUACAGUGGACAGGCAGCUCCACCCCAGCUAUCCUUUCAUAGCUGGAGGUAGGCAUAGGGAG